rnacentral:rRNA from 1 species
GACGGGGACCCGCACAAGCAGCGGAGCGUGUGGUUUAAUUCGAUGCUACACGAAGAACCUUACCAGGGUUUGACAUGCAAGUGGUAGGAAACUGAAAGGGGACCGACCCUUCGGGGAGCUUGCACAGGUGCUGCAUGGCUGUCGUCAGCUCGUGUCGUGAGAUGUUCGGUUAAGUCCGCUAACGAGCGCAACCCUCACUGUGUGUUAUACGUGUCACACGGGACUGCCGGUUUUAAGCCGGAGGAAGGUGGGAUGACGUCAAGUCAGCAUGGCCUUUAUAUCCUGGGCUACACACACGCUACAAUGGUCGGUACAAUAGGUUGCCAAGCCGCGAGGCGGAGCCAAUCCAUAAAGCCGGCCUCAGUUCAGAUUGUAGGCUGCAACUCGCCUGCAUGAAGAUGGAGUUGCUAGUAACCGCAGGUCAGCAAUACUGCGGUGAAUACGUUCCCGGGUCUU